UACGGAGGGUGCAAGCGUUGUCCGGAAUCACUGGGCGUAAAGGGCGCGUAGGCGGCUCAUGAAGGCUGUGGUGAAAGUCCGGGGCUCAACCUCGGAUCGGCCGUGGCGACUCGUGGGCUGGAGCACUGUAGAGGCGGGUGGAAUUCCGGGUGUAGCGGUGGAAUGCGCAGAUAUCAGGAGGAACACCGGUGGCGAAGGCGGGUCUCUGGGCCGUAACUGACGCUGAGGAGCGAAAGCGUGGGGAGCGAACAGG
rnacentral:rRNA from 1 species